UGAGGAAUAUUGGUCAAUGGGCGCAAGCCUGAACCAGCCAUGCCGCGUGCAGGAAGACGGUCCUAUGGAUUGUAAACUGCUUUUAUUGGGGAAUAAACCUUUCUACGUGUAGGAAGCUGAAGGUACCCAAUGAAUAAGCACCGGCUAACUCCGUGCCAGCAGCCGCGGUAAUACGGAGGGUGCAAGCGUUAUCCGGAAUCAUUGGGUUUAAAGGGUCCGCAGGCGGGAAAAUAAGUCAGUGGUGAAAUCUUACAGCUUAACUGUGAAACUGCCAUUGAUACUGUUUUUCUUGAAUUCGAUCGGAGUGGGCGGAAUGUGACAUGUAGCGGUGAAAUGCUUAGAUAUGUCACAGAACACCGAUAGCGAAGGCAGCUCACUAGGUCUGGAUUGACGCUCAGGGACGAAAGCGUGGGGAGCAAACAG
rnacentral:rRNA from 1 species